UGGGAGAGCCAUGAAGUCCCCUGUAAGGGGUGGAGAGCACCAUUUGAAUCAGCUGGAAGAAAAGAAAAGACUCUGAUAUACCUGUUUGAGGAAGCUAACCUUUGAAUGAGAGAAACUUCUGCUGAUGUCAAAUGACCACAAGGAUAUUAACAACUGGACUUGGAGGCUGUCGGCCGCUGUUGGUUUAUUAGUUGAACAAACCGGAUGGUUAGUCCUGUAGCAUAGCCUGCUGACCCUCAUGUUGAAGGUAUUCUGUUUUUUUAUUACUAUUUUUUAUUUGAAUUCCAGUAUAGAAUGUUAAGGGUAUUCUUGUGGUGUCACUUAAUAUAUCUUCUGCCUAUGUUUCUUUUAAUCUUCCAAUUAGAGCUGGAGGUUUGAUCAGCUUCAGGUUCAGUUUUUGACAAGACUAUUUUAUAAGUGCUUACAUAUUAUAUUUGCAAUAUAACUUCUCUUUGGGGGGGCUUUAGUAACUAUUGAUAAUUAUUGCCUGGACCCAUUAACUUCUUUAAUGAUUAUGAAACAGUGCUAUUUAAAUGCUCUCAUUUCUUCUUCAUGUAUUAGCUGGAGUGUCUUUAUGGAGAAAAUUUCCUGUAAUUCACUAUUUGCUUCCUCUGAUGUACAGUUCACUAAGAAAAUAAAGAAUAUUUGUUAUUUUCUCCUUCUGCUAACUUUGGGCUAAGUUUGUUCUUUUUAUAGUUCCUUGAAAUGUAAAGUUAUGUUGUUUAUUUGCAAUCUUUCUUCUUUCUUAAUGUAAGCAUUUAUCACUAUAAACUUCCUUCUUAGAACUGCUUACACUGCAUCUUGUAAGUUUUGACAUAUUGUGUUUCCAUUUUCAUUUAUUUCAUGAUAUUAUUUGAUUUCCCUUUUGAUUUCUUAUUUGACUCAUUGAUUGUUGAGUAGUGUAUUGUCUCAUUUCCACAUAUUUGUGAAUUUUUCAGUUUUCCUCCUGUUAUUGAUUUCUACUUUCACAUACCAUUGUGCUCAGAAAAGAUACUUAGUAUGAUUUCAAUCUUUUUAAAUUUUU